rnacentral:ncRNA from 1 species
CAACCCCACGAUAAAUGAGAUAAUAUAGGGCCUUUACUUCCAUUUAAAAAAAAUACUUUUGUUGGAUGGACCCGAAGUUUCCCAUAUCCUAUGAUUCACACUUAUUGAUAGGUAGGAAGAUUGAGACUUUGGAGAGUGUCUCAGAAGUGCGGAGGAAAAAUUUCCCAAAGUCCAUGGUCUUGAUCAUGCCUAUAUUUGAGGGUCAUUCAAUCAUGUCAUAAGAUUUCCCAAAAAUCAAUCUCAAUGAAGAGGGUGUUUAAAUCAAGGAAAAAUUUGAGGGCAUUCCAUAAAUGUUUCCCCUUCAAGCAAUAUCAUAGACAACAUGCACUCCUUUUCCUCCUCUGCAUCAAUCAUGUGAAAAUCCCUACAAAAUAACAAAUGGAUUUCCAAUGAUUUUUCAAUAAUCCAUUUAUAUAAAAGGGCACAUUCAUCAUUAGUCACAUAGAAUUUGGAUAAACCCAACAACCUUCCAUCCAAAGUCAACAAAAUUGAAACCCAUUUUUGAGAGUUGUUGGUGCCUCAUCCUAUAACUGACGACAAUGUUAGGAAAUCUGAAGACGUCGUCAGGGGCCCCAUAAAGAGUUAUCUUUUUCCUUUUAACAACUUUCCCACCCUGAAAUUGGCUCAACCAGAGAUACGGUCCAGUAACUGGAAGAGCAUCACACACCUUGCGGUGUCCAGUGCACCCUCGACGACCCUUCAAAAUUUGGAGGAUCGAGUAUCGUCCAUGCCCGGUCAUACUCAUAACCGCAUCAGGUCUUCAAGGUGAACAACCUCUGGUCAAUAAAACAAUGUAGGUAAGGGAAGUCAACAAAAAAGAUCUGUAACUUCGGGAAAAGGAUUGGCUCUGAGGGCUGGGCCUAGGGGUCCGCAUCCUCAA